rnacentral:rRNA from 1 species
AGGAUGAACGCUAGCGGCAGGCUUAAAUACAUGCAAGUCGUGGGGCAGCAUGAGUAGCAAUACUUGAUGGCGACCGGCAAACGGGUGAGGAACACGUACACAACCUUCCUUCAAGCGGGGAAUAGCCCAGAGAAAUUUGGAUUAAUACCCCAUAAUAUAUUUGAUAAGGCAUCUUAUUAAUAUUAAAGCUUCGGCACUUGAUGAUGGGUGUGCGGCUGAUUAGAUAGUUGGCGGGGUAACGGCCCACCAAGUCUACGAUCAGUAGCUGAUGUGAGAGCAUGAUCAGCCACACGGGCACUGAGACACGGGCCCGACUCCUACGGGAGGCAGCAGUAAGGAAUAUUGGACAAUGGACGAAAGUCUGAUCCAGCCAUGCCGCGUGAAGGAUUAAGGUCCUCUGGAUUGUAAACUUCUUUUAUAUGGGACGAAAAAAGGGCAUUCUUGUUCACUUGACGGUACCAUAUGAAUAAGCACCGGCUAACUCCGUG